GAGCUUUCUACUUGUAGUAUUAUUCGUUUUGAAGUUUUUGGAGGCUUUGAGAACACCCAGCGGGAAGCUCGUACUAUACAGCAUCAGUGUAGUCAAAAAUAGGUUACACGAUUGAAUUGUAAACACAUUCAGAUGCCUCAACUGUCAAGCAAGACCGUAUUCGCUUGCUCACUCUGUUGCAGAUCUCUUCCGUAUCAUAUUCUUUCCAUGAUUUUUGUUCAUCUACCAUUACGCCUAAGUAACUAAACUUUGGCACUCUUUCAAAUAGUUUGCCCUGUUGUUGGAUGGUAAAGUCUCCGAAACGACUAAGUUUUAUUUGUUCCAGAAAGCAUAACCUUAGUUUUGCUGUAAUUUAAAAAAAAUCUACUGGAAGUCACCCAUUGUGCAACACGAUAUAAGUCAUUUUGAAGGGUUUUCAUUAUCUCAUUGGUAUCAGAACCAGAAAAAUAAAUU